ACAGGGAUUGCCUCAGUAACGGCGAGUGAAGCGGCAACAGCUCAAAUUUGAAAUCUGGCUCUUUCAGGGUCCGAGUUGUAAUUUGUAGAGGAUGUUUCGGGUGUGGCUCCGGUCUAAGUUCCUUGGAACAGGACGUCAUAGAGGGUGAGAAUCCCGUAUGUGACUGGUAGCCUAUGCCCAUGUGAAACUCCUUCGACGAGUCGAGUUGUUUGGGAAUGCAGCUCAAAAUGGGUGGUAAAUUUCAUCUAAAGCUAAAUAUUGGCCAGAGACCGAUAGCGCACAAGUAGAGUGAUCGAAAGAUGAAAAGCACUUUGGAAAGAGAGUUAAACAGUACGUGAAAUUGUUGAAAGGGAAGCGCUUGCAACCAGACUUGCAUGUAGCUGAUCAACCGGUGUUCUCACCGGUGCACUCAGUUGCGUUCAGGCCAGCAUCGGUUUCGACGGUUGGAUAAAGGCCUUGGGAAUGUAGCUCCUCUCGGGGAGUGUUAUAGCCCAGGGUGCAAUGCAGCCUGUUGGGACCGAGGACCGCGCUUCGGCUAGGAUGCUGGCGUAAUGGUUGUAAGCGACCCGUCUUGAAACACGGACCAAGGAGUCUAACAUCUAUGCGAGUGUUUGGGUGUCAAACCCAUACGCGUAAUGAAAGUGAACGGAGGUGAGAACCCUUAAGGGUGCAUCAUCGACCGAUCCUGAUGUCUUCGGAUGGAUUUGAGUAAGAGCAUAGCUGUUGGGACCCGAAAGAUGGUGAACUAUGCCUGAAUAGGGUGAAGCCAGAGGAAACUCUGGUGGAGGCUCGCAGCGGUUCUGACGUGCAAAUCGAUCGUCAAAUUUGGGUAUAGGGGCGAAAGACUAAUCGAACCAUCUAGUAGCUGGU
rnacentral:rRNA from 1 species